rnacentral:lncRNA from 1 species
CAGCAGGAAGGUUUGUGCUGGAAAAUUUACAGGGUACACAAGGACUGGGGGGCCUAGAUGCUGUCUAGGUGGGCCUGGACACCUAGAAGGUGACCCCAGGACUGACCAUGGGUACAGAGUCAACUAACUGUUGCACUCCACCUCUGGAUAAGAGAAGAUCACCACUGCUUCACUCCUCUGGUUGGGGUGGUGAACUCCCAGCUGCAAGACUCUGACUAAGGGGUGCUUCGUGAGGAAGCUCCUUGGAAGUCCUGCCUCUCUCUAGGUCCUGGACAGCAUGUGGGUGUGACCAGGGAUUGACCACACUGAGUGUGAUAUGGAUCAGAAGGAUAGAAAAGGCAGCAACGACAAGUGAUUGUCUCUUCCUAAGUUUUCCUGUCUUUUGUUGCCCUUUUAUCUGCAGAGCAUGGUCUAAUAAACAGAGAAGGCUCAGGAGGGUCAGAAACACGGUGUUCGCUGAGUCUGCCUCAUUUCUCAGCCUACUUGCCAAGAAUUCCCAAAAAGGAAGCAUUGGAGGAUCAUUCCAAGGCUUGAGGUCCAGGACUACCCACUUCCCUUGGAAUGGUGUUGCCAUCACUGUUCUGGCACUGGAGAAAGGAUUCUACAUCGUUGGGAGAAAAGAAAAAGGAGAAUUUGGGCUUGCACUGAGAGGAUUACCUUUGGUGGUCUGGAAGUGGUGGUAAGUCCUGGACAAUUCUCACAUUAAUCGUUUUUGCCUGUUUAAAAUGGGAAAAAUAAUGCCUACUCUAUAGGACUGCUAGGAGGCUUAAGUAAGUAUGUGUGCUUGUAAACUCUCCACAGAUGCAUGCUGUCAUUAUGAUCUUUGCUGCACAAGCAUUAUUUAACGUCCUAAGUGUGAUUUUUUAAAUUUCACUCUCACAAAAGAUAGGUUUCCUCUUCAUAAUAAACAUGCGUCUACUUCCCUUUUUGAACGUAAGAUCCCAAACAAAAAGGAAAUUGAUGUCCUUAUAAAAAGGAGCCAAUGCAAGAAGUAUCUAGAAGUAACUUUAGAUGCAGUGUCAAGAAGUUUAUUAGUGACAGUCAUGUACAUAGCACAGUGUAGAGUAAUGCAAAUCUGUGCUUAUACCACCCAUUUAAAAUAAUUUUAGUUAGCACAUGAAUUUGUUGCAUAUAAACAGCACCUUUGACAAGUUAUUUAUUUAAAAGGGUCAGAUUCAGGCAUUGUUUCUAAAGUAGAACUUCAAUGAUAAAAUCUGAAAAUGUUAUUCUUUCAAUUAAAAAAAGUGAGUAGGUGUGUGUGUGUGUGCGUUUAUCACUGGUUUCAUGAGUAUUGCUGAUUCUCAUAAUAGACAGAUUAGAAAAUCUGACCAACUCUGUAUUAAUUAUCUAUUGUUGCACAACAGAUUACUCUAAUACUUAGUUAAAACAACAGACCUUUGUUAGUGUGUGGUUUUUGUGGGUCAGGUACAUAAAAGAGGUUCAGCUGAGUGGUUCUUGUUUGGAAUCUCUUAUGAGUUUUCAGCCAUGCUAUUAACAGGGGUUUUGAUCAUCUGAAGGUUUAACUGGGGCUGAAGAGCCUGCCCCCAAGAUGAGUCACUCUUGUUUAGUGGUUAGCAGGAAACCCCAGCUCCAUGCUGGCUAUUGGCAGGAGGCCUCGGUGUUUCACAAUGUGUACCUCUCCAUAGGAUUGCUUGAGUAUCUUCGCAACAUGGCAACCGGCGUCUCCCACAGGGACUGAUCUAAGAAAGAAUAAGGAAGAAGCCUCAAUGCCUUUUAUGUCUUAAUCAUGAGGUCAAAUACCAUCCCUUCUUCUAUAUUCUGUUUGCUAGAAGCAAGUUACUAAGUACAGCCCAUACUUAAAGGAAGAAGAAUUAGACUCUACUUUUUGAAAGGAGGAGUAUCAAAUAAUUUUUUAACAUGUUGCAAAACCAACAUAAGUUCUUUGGUAUAAAUUGCACUUUUCUAUUGUUGGUAUUCAGAACAAAACAUUUUUCACAAUUGCAAUAGCUACCUAUAUUAUUGGAUUCUCAGAAUACAGAACAUAAAUCUCUUUAUUGGUUAUGAAGAAAAUGAAUUCAGAGGCAUAAGGAGCUUUCUCCAGGUACAGAGAAGUUCAGUGUCCAACUCUAGACUUAGAUCUAGAAUUCUGAUAUAUAAUUUCAUAUGCAGUCAGAUUACAUCUAAAUAAUAAUAGCAAAAACAGGGCUCUUCUACUGUACUGUAAUUUACUUUUCCAACUUUUGGCUACUUACAAGAUCACAAACAUCUGGAUUUAAACUGGAAACAUCUUCUCAAAAAUCCAGAUGUUUCCAAAUAUAGGUGUUUUUUUUUUAAGCUAUCAAAAACCCCUUGGUGAAUGAGUAACUAUGCAUGUUGAAUGGUUAUCCCAUUAAAAAUCUAACUCCCUUUCCCAAUUUAUGUUAUUCUAGGUGGAAAGUUUCUAAUGUGAUCCAGUGUUAAAUUAGGAGUUUGGACUGACUGAGGCAACAAGAUAUAAGAGAUGUCAGAUAGCAAAGUGAGGUGAGAGACAGGACAUCAAGUUGGAAAUUUUGAAAGAAACUCUCCUGAAACCGCACAGCUUCUGUGCCUCUCCUCCAACAUUCCUCACCUAGGCUGAGGUUAAGAAGGGGGAUGUUAGAGUGAGGCAUUUGAAUGUUAGAAAAGCAAUCCCCCCACCGCAAAUAAGGGAACAGCCUCCACACCAGACUGCUUAGAGUUGAUAAAAGACCUCUGUAGGCCAAAGGCGCAAGGAACUCGUACCUGGCUCAUGACUUAUAAGACUUUACCUAUGAGAAUUAGAAAGCUCAUGAAGAGUUCUUGAAUUUUCACUAAGAGGCAGUGAAAUCAUUACUUCCACAGAACAGGUUUAAAGGGAUAGCAGAAAAUGAAAAUAAAGAUACUUUUAUAACUAUCCCUCAUGCAGCCUCUAUGUUUAACACAUGGAUCCACUAAAAUAUAUCACAGACAUUUUCUGCCUUUUAAACAAAGUAUGGUGAGUUAUUAAGAAAAGGUUAAGUUAUUUUCAAUGUUAUCAUGACUAAUGCAAUAAUUAAAAAAACCUUGGAUUUGAAUACUACAUUUUCAAAGUAACUCAAUACAAUGAUGUCCCCAAGGCUUAUGGAGAUCUAUGGGGUUAUUUACCCCAGACUCAUAAUUCUUACAUGUGUGUUUCCAAUUUUCCUGACACGUCAUUUGGUUUCUAUAUUUUCCAUUGUCACUUUCACUAAUUUCUUCAUGCUUCUGUAUAUUAUCUC